rnacentral:rRNA from 1 species
GCCGGGUGUAAGCUCGCCUGGAGCCGCCUCCGGCGCAGAUCAUGGUGGUAGUAGCAAAUACUCAAGUGAGAACCUUGAGGACUGAGGUGGAGAAGGGUUCCAUGUGAACAGCAGUUGAACAUGGGUCAGUCGGUCCUAAGGGAUAGGAGAAAUCCGUUCCGAGGCGGGACCUAAUUUAUUAUGAAAGUCCCGCUGAUGACCGAAAGGGAAUCGGGUUAAUAUUCCCGAAUCCGGACGCGGAGAUCGUCCUCUUCGGAGGUACAUUGCGGUAACGCAAACGAGUUCGGAGACGUCGACGGGAGCACCGGGAAGAGUUAUCUUUUCUUUGUAAGGAUUCGACUCCCUGGAAUCGGCUCGCCCGGAGAUAGGGAUGGUGUUUCCGUAAAGCACCGCGCCUCUUGCGGUGUCCGGAUCGCUCCCGUCGGCCCUUGAAAAUCCGAGUGAGAGAUAGUGAUUUUCGUGCCGGACCGUACCCAUAUCCGCAGCAGGUCU